GAAUGUACUUUCAUUCGUAGUUUAUUCACUGAUUGAUUACCAUCUUACUAUAAGUAAACCCUUUGAAUGUCUUUUAUGUGCACAAUGUCAGCAUUUCAGAAUGGUGCAUCGACGGAUAACAGUAUUGAUCAAGCCAAAAAGAUUGAUCAAAUUCUGGAUUUGAUGCGAAUUUUCAAUGCAAGGCAGUUGAAUUUCGCCCAGAGAUUGAACCAGAUCAAUGCAACGGUUGACAACCUGAACAAGCGACUUUUACUCUCAGAGUCAAAAACACGGUCAGAAGAGGAGGUUGUAAAACCUGUCAUUGCACCUGAGUCCAAAGACUCACAAACAGAGGUGUCGAAGAAGGACUCUAGCACUCAAACUUUGGCGUCAAAGCUCAAAUGUCAGUGUAAGAGUGAAACCAGUUCAUCAUCAGAGGAUAAAACGAGUGAAACCAGUUCAUCAUCAGAGGAUGAAGCGAAUGAACUGAGAAUGACGGGAGAACAAGCACAAUUUUCACCAGUAUCUAAUGUAGUAAAAACAACGUUGACCAAUGAGGAAAUAGUUACGGACCCUGAUGAUGAAGACAUAAUUUGUGCACUUGACCAAUUGAAUGCAUCAACUGUAAAAGAUGUAGCGAAGGAAAUCAAAAUGUUGCCCAUGAUUACCAAAGAGAGGAGAAUUGCUAAACUUGUAGAUGAAAUCAUAAAAAAAGCCAAUGAUCAACCAAAAAGUUGUGCACUGUUAUGCAAAAAAUUAGCCCCACCCCUGAAAACGGACAGAGAUGGCGAGAAAUGGCACUAUCAAAAUGAGCGUCACUUUAGAAGAAGACUACUCGAUGUCUGUCAGAAUCAGUUUGAGAAUGAAAUGAUGACUGAAAGAGUUGGCCCACAUGUUAUUCCACCAAAACAUCAGGAAUCUCAGAAAAAAAAUGGAAUAACUUCUCAUCAGAAAUAUCUUAAUCAGUAUAAAAAGAAUGAAUUUAGACAUAAGCAGCGCUAGUUUUGCAGAUUUCUCGGGCAUCUUUUUAAUAAAGAUGUGUUAGCUAUUGAUGGAAUGCACAAGAUUUUUCUCCGUUUAUUUCGGAAACAAGACAAUUCAUCCAUAGAAAUACUGUGUGAUUUAAUAUUGUCUGUCGGUGAUCACUACUUCAGGACGAUGCAAGAUAAAAAUAAGGUACGUAUUUAUCCGUUUCUCAAGAGAAUACAAAUAUUUUGUGCUAAUAUAUCAAAGCUCUUGAAGCCAGAAGGAAAAGAAACUCGUUGCCCAAAGACAUUUAAGAGGCAUCUUGAAAAAAAGGGAGGAAUAAAGUCCAUUUUGCCGAUAGACCCAAGAUCACGCAAGAACACUAGAGUUGUGGGGCUCAUCAGCUAAAUGGAUUUCGCUCCCAUUGCUUCAAGAUGCCUCAUAUAGAGGACUAGAGUGAAAGGAAUGAAUAUCCUCCAUUUUUAAAUCAUUUUCUUUCAACUUCAAAAAGAGACGAUGGCUAUCACUUUAGGAAAUUCAAAUUUUAUUUUCAUCGAUAAUUUUUAUUGUACAAGAAGUAUUUUCUUUCAUUUUUUAUCUCAUGGUAUCGUGCAUGUAGAUGCUGCAGCUGUUGAUAACCAACCUCUCGCUCAACAAAAAACGCUGAAUAGGGGCCUCUGUUCACAACUUUAGCUCAUGGGAAACGUACUACGUUCGCUUUCGUUCACUUGAGAAGCUAGUGAGAAUGACAGCAUAAGGCCUUUAAGUAGUCGUUUGAUUGGAGAAUCAACUCUGAACUGUACGAAAGUAUCA
rnacentral:lncRNA from 1 species